UAGGGAAUCUUCCGCAAUGGACGAAAGUCUGACGGAGCAACGCCGCGUGAGUGAAGAAGGAUUUCGGUUCGUAAAACUCUGUUGUUAGGGAAGAAAAAAUGUAUAGUAACUAUAUACAAGAGAGACGGUACCUAACCAGAAAGCCACGGCUAACUACGUGCCAGCAGCCGCGGUAAUACGUAGGUGGCAAGCGUUGUCCGGAAUUAUUGGGCGUAAAGCGCGCGCAGGUGGUUUAGAAAGUCUGAUGUGAAAGCCCACGGCUCAACCGUGGAGGGUCAUUGGAAACUAAUAAACUUGAGUGCAGGAGAGAAAAGUGGAAUUCCUAGUGUAGCGGUGAAAUGCGUAGAGAUUAGGAGGAACACCGGUGGCGAAAGCGGCUUUUUGGCCUGCAACUGACACUGAGGCGCGAAAGCGUGGGGAGCAAACAGG
rnacentral:rRNA from 1 species